GUUUUAAUUUGAUUAAUUAAUAUCGAUAACUACAGUAUACAGUAUAACACAUAUGUGAAUUCAUUAACUAAAGUAUUCUAUUUUCAAUAUAUAUGAUUUGCAAUACCCCCAAGGCUCCAUUAUAAGUUAUUAUACCACAAUUAUUGAUGGGAAAAUAAUGAUCAAAACUUGUAGUUCAGACCUUUUGCCUAUAUAGAAAAUGUCUUUAAAGAGUUCAACUCGUUUAGGAGUAAAUGCUUGGCUAUUUAAGUCUAUUUUUGAACUAUCCCUAAAGAGUUUUAUGCAGCUUUUAGCCAAAGAGUAUAGGAACAAACGGUUUCUUUGUCUAUUUUUCGACCGAGUGUUUUUAAUGUUCAGUUGAUCCCAGCGACUGCCUUGAUCUCUCGCAUUAUUCGUCCGAUGCUAUUCUUUCCCAUCGGCACUUUGUUAAACCAGAUGUCGCCUUUCGGUUUAUGCUUUGGUGUGAGGUAGAACGACGAGAUUCCUGGCGGACGAUGUUUCAAGUAGACUUUAAAAGCUCGAACGGGGUCUCGUUCGCUUCCGUCGGUUGC
rnacentral:lncRNA from 1 species